ensembl:lncRNA
CAUGUAUCAACACAUCUCUGUCCUGACCUCAACCCCUCCUUCACCUAAUCCACAGAUGUCCAUCUCUCCCCUGUAUCAACACAUCUCUGUCCUCACCUCCUGACCUCAACCCCUCCUUCACCUAAUCCACAGAUGUCCAUCUGUCUCCCCAUGUAUCAACACAUCUCUGUCCUCACCUCCUGACCUCAACCCUCCUUCACCUAAUCCACAGAUGUCCAUCUGUCUCCCCAUGUAUCAACACAUCUCUGUCCUCACCUCCUGACCUCAACCCCUCCUUCACCUAAUCCACAGAUGUCCAUCUGUCUCCCCUGUAUCAACACAUCUCUGUCCUCACCUCCUGACCUCAACCCCUCCUUCACCUAAUCCACAGAUGUCCAUCUGUCUCCCCUGUAUCAACACAUCUCUGUCCUCACCUCCUGACCUCAACCCCUCCUUCACCUAAUCCACAGAUGUCCAUCUGUCUCCCCAUGUAUCAACACAUCUCUGUCCUCACCUCCUGACCUCAACCCCUCCUUCACCUAAUCCACAGAUGUCCAUCUGUCUCCCCAUGUAUCAACACAUCUCUGUCCUCACCUCCUGACCUCAACCCCUCCUUCACCUAAUCCACAGAUGUCCAUCUGUCUCCCCAUGUAUCAACGCAUUGCUGUCCUCUCCUCCAUCAAACACAUUCCAAAGCCUUCUGUCUUUCUUCAGAGAUCCAUUCUAACAGAACACCCAGUCUCUUUCAUUUCCUAUCAUUCAUUUACUAUCUCAAUGUUUAGCACAUUCAUUCUUCCCAUGACAGACUGACCAGGUGAAUCCAGGAUCCCUUAUUGAUGUCACCUUAAAUUCACUUCAAUCAGUGUAGAUGAAGGGGAGGAGACGGGUUAAAUAAUGAUUCUUUGCCAUUCAGAGGGUGAAUGGGCAAGAAAAGAUUGAAAUCAAAUUUGAUUAGUCACAAUGCAGUAAAAAAUAAUGAAUAAGAACUAAAAUUAACAAAUAAUUAAAGAGCAGCAGUAAUAAUAAUCAUAGCGAGACUAUAUGCAGGGGGUACCGGCUAGUAAUGAGACUAUAUGCAGGGGGCACCGGUUAGUAAUGAGACUAUAUGCAGGGGGCACCGGUUAGUAAUGAGACUAUAUACAGGGGGUACCGGUACAGAGUCAAUGUGCGGGGUCACCGGUGUCAUACCUCUGCACCAUCUCUCUGUCUCCUACACCCAGGAUGCUGUGGUCAGAGAGGUCGUAAAUUCCUGGAGGAGAAUAUCUCCUCAUGGCCAGAGUAUUUAGAGAAAGUGAGUUUUCAUAUAGAGAGAGAAGGAGGAUAUACACCCAAAAGGGUCACGUUGUGGCAAUACAGACAGGUGGUUAGUAAAGUAACCUGGAGUAAAGUGAGCCGGUACUCCAGAGGUGAAGAGAGGGCAGGGUGAAAGAAGAGGCCUAAAGUGCAGGUAGGAGCCGUCUAGAAGAGGCCUAAAGGGCAGGAAGGAGCCGUCUAGAAGAGGCCUAAAGGACAGGAAGGAGCCGUCUAGAAGAGGCCUAAAGGGCAGGAAGGAGCAGACUAGAAGAGGGUUGGUCAGUGUCCUCCUAGUCCUCACUGGCUCCGUGGUCAGUAAGGAUCCUUCCUCUGGCUCAGGAGGGGUCGACUAGCUCAACAGGUAGCACUACGGAUCACCUCCAUCCACCUGGAGACAGACAGACAGGUUAGAGACAGACAGGUAGCACUACGGAUCACCUCCAUCCACCUGGAGACAGACAGACAGGUUAGAGACAGACAGGUAGCACUACGGAUCACCUCCAUCCACCUGGAGGAAGACACAGGUAGCACUACCAAACACCACACUACUGAAAACAACAAGAC